UACGUAGGGUGCAAGCGUUAAUCGGAAUUACUGGGCGUAAAGCGUGCGUAGGCGGACCAGCAAGUCAGGGGUGAAAGCCCGGGGCUCAACCCCGGAACUGCCUUUGAUACUGUUGGUCUGGAGUUCGAGAGAGGUGGGUGGAAUUCCGAGUGUAGAGGUGAAAUUCGUAGAUAUUCGGAGGAACACCAGUGGCGAAGGCGGCCCACUGGCUCGACACUGACGCUGAGGCGCGAAAGCGCGGGGAGCAAACAGG
rnacentral:rRNA from 1 species